GGUGACCACAGUGACAGUGGCCAACGUGGGGGCUGCUGCAGACAAUGUCUUCACCACGUCUGUGGCGAACGCGGCAUCCAUCUCAGGACAUGUUCUGGCCAGGAAGACCAGAGACUGGUGUGUUCCUGUUUGGAAACUGACAACAAAGCGGGGCACGGUCUGAAAUAACUGUGUGUUCCCUUCCUAAGAAAAAUACUCUGUGACUCUUAAACAAACACAAGACAUUCCUUUUCUCCAGUGAAGAGCUG
rnacentral:ncRNA from 2 species